UACAGUGGCAGUAUAAGGGGUUAACUGUAUAGAGUGACAAUGUUCAGUACAGUGGCAGUAUAAGGAGGGUUAACUGUAUAGAGUGACAAUGUUCAGUACAGUGGCAGUAUAAGGAGGGUUUACUGUAUAGAGUGACAAUGUUCAGUACAGUGGCAGUAUAAGGAGGGUUUGCUGUAUAGAGUGACAAUGUUCAGUACAGUGGCAGUAUAAGGAGGGUUUACUGUAUAGAGUGACAAUGUUCAGUACAGUGGCAGUAUAAGGAGGGUUUACUGUAUAGAGUGACAAUGUUCAGUACAGUGGCAGUAUAAGGAGUGUUAACUGUAUAGAGUGACAAUGUUCAGUACAUUGGCAGUAUAAGGGGGUUUACUGUAUAGAGUGACAAUGUUCAGUACAGUGGCAGUAUAAGGAGUGUUAACUGUAUAGAGUGACAAUGUUCAGUACAGUGGCAGUAUAAGGAGUGUUAACUGUAUAGAGUGACAAUGUUCAGUACAGUGGCAGUAUAAGGAGGGUUAACUGUAUAGAGUGACAAUGUUCAGUACAGUGGCAGUAUAAGGAGGGUUAACUGUAUAGAGUGACAAUGUUCAGUACAGUGGCAGUAUAAGGGGGUUAACUGUAUAGAGUGACAAUGUUCAGUACAGUGGCAGUAUAAGGAGGGUUAACUGUAUAGAGUGACAAUGUUCAGUACAGUGGCAGUAUAAGGAGGGUUUACUGGAGUGACAAUGUUCAGUACAGUGGCAGUAUAAGGAGGGUUAACUGGAGUGACAAUGUUCAGUACAGUGACAGUAUAAGGGGGGUUAACUGUAUAGAGUGACAAUGUUCAGUACAGUGGCAGUAUAAGGAGUGUUAACUGUAUAGAGUGACAAUGUUCAGUACAGUGGCAGUAUAAGGGGGGUUAACUGUAUAGAGUGACAAUGUUCAGUACAGUGGCAGUAUAAGGAGGGUUAACUGUAUAGAGUGACAAUGUUCAGUACAGUGGCAGUAUAAGGAGGGUUUACUGUAUAGAGUGACAAUGUUCAGUACAGUGGCAGUAUAAGGAGGGUUAACUGUAUAGAGUGACAAUGUUCAGUACAGUGGCAGUAUAAGGAGUGUUAACUGUAUAGAGUGACAAUGUACAGUACAGUGGCAGUAUAAGGGGUUAACUGUAUAGAGUGACAAUGUUCAGUACAGUGGCAGUAUAAGGAGGGUUAACUGUAUAGAGUGACAAUGUUCAGUACAGUGGCAGUAUAAGGAGGGUUUACUGUAUAGAGUGACAAUGUUCAGUACAGUGGCAGUAUAAGGAGGGUUAACUGUAUAGUGAUGUGAAUGUUUACAGGAUGUGUCCUUUAUGAUUUAUGAAAGAGGUAUACAGACCUAUGCUGAGUGACGUUUGAUAAACAUGUUGCUGAAUUGUUAAUGUUUUAUUUAAUAUGUACACAAGUCUGUGAUCCAAAAGGAGAGAGAAAUAAAAGUAGAAAUAUGAA